rnacentral:lncRNA from 1 species
AGACAUUUACGAGUACAUACUCAAACUCUCGGAAACCUUACAAAUUACCCCCUUUGUUAGCCAAACCGAUAGUUAAUCUGCUAAAUGCUGAUGUCGCAUUUGUGGGACCUAUUUUUUUAAUUGACGUGGACUCCACAUAAGAAAUAAAAUAAAUAAAAUAAAUGAAAAACAAUAAAAUAAAAUAAAAUAAAGAAGAAUAAAAAACUUUUUAAAAAAUAAAUUUUUUUUAAAAAAAACUCAUCUUCUCGCCCCUACCCUCUUCCCCAGAGGGAAAAAGAAGUAAAGAUAGCCCCACUCCCGUCCGCCACUAGUUCUGACAUCCCCCUCCCUUCCAGCGUAACCUCCAACCCACCUUCCUCAUAUCAUCGUCCUUUACGAAAAAACUGGUUCUACCCUUGCCGAUCGAUUUCUCACAGCACCCAGAUGGCAACGAUGUCGUGAACCCAACCCUCAUAAAUCUACCAUACAUCUCUGAUGACGUGCAGAUCUCUUCCUCAGACCUAUUGGGUAGGGCUCUGAUAUUGGUUGGGGAUAGGAUAGGACUGAGGGAAAAUGAGGUGGUGGGUGGUGG